rnacentral:rRNA from 1 species
GUUUUUAAUUGAAAUCUAGAAUGAAUGGUUGAAUGAAAUAUAAGCUAUUUUAAAAUAAUUUUUUUAAUUUUAUUUUUUAGUUAAAAAGCUAAAAUUUUAAUAAGGGACGAGAAGACCCUAUAGAUUUUUAUAUUUUAUAAAAUUAUUUAGAUUUUUUAUUUUAGAAAUUUAUUAUAUAAAAUAUUUUAUUGGGGGGAUAAAAAAAAUUAUAAAACUUUUUUAUAAAAAAAUUAAUGUAAUAAAAUUUUUGAUCCAAAUAACUGAUUAAAAAUUUAAAUUACCUUAGGGAUAACAGCAUAAUUUUUUUAUAAAGUUCAUAUUAAUAAAAAAGAUUAU